GCGGGGGUUGUAGAGCCUGGCCAAAUACGCGGGACUUAAGAUCUUUAUGAGGGAUCCCGUCUCUCAGGGGUUCGUGGGUUCAAAUCCCACCUCCCGCA
rnacentral:tRNA from 1 species